GGGCAUGUGGCGGAAUGGCAGACGCGCUGGACUUAGGAUCCAGUGGAGCAAUCCUUGCAGGUUCAAGUCCUGUCGUGCCCACCA
rnacentral:tRNA from 1 species